rnacentral:rRNA from 1 species
CCUACGGGCGGCAGCAGUGAGGAAUAUUGGUCAAUGGCCGCAGGCCUGAACCAGCCAAGUCGCGUGAAGGAUGACGGUCCUAUGGAUUGUAAACCUCUUUUGUCAGGGAACAAAGUGCGCCACGUGUGGCGUUUUGCGAGUACCUUAUGAAAAAGCAUCGGCUAACUCCGUGCCAGCAGCCGCGGUAAUACGGAGGAUUCGAGCGUUAUCCGGAUUUAUUGGGUUUAAAGGGUGCGCAGGCGGAAUGUCAAGUCAGCGGUAAAAUUUCGGGGCUCAACCCCGUCGUGCCGUUGACACUGGCGGUCUGGAGUGAGCGAGAAGUAGGCGGAAUGCGUGGUGUAGCGGUGAAAUGCAUAGAUAUCACGCAGAACUCCGAUUGCGAAGGCAGCAUACCGGAGCGCAACUGACGCUGAUGCACGAAAGCGUGGGUAUCGAACAGGAUUAGAUACCCUGGUAGUC